rnacentral:lncRNA from 1 species
AUUUUUAUACAUAUCUAUAUACAUGUCUAUAUAUGUAUUUUAUUUUCAUAAAUAUAUAUAUACUUACAUAUUCUUCAUAUUUUUUAGAUAUGUAUUUUAUAUAUGUUCUUUGUAAUACCCAAAUUUUGCCCGACCCAAUACAUAUAUUAAAACCCAAAUAUAAAAAUAAAAAAAUUAAAAGUCCAAAUGCCCAUUACAUUAACCCAAUUUAAAAAAAAAACCAAAAUUACAUACCCAAAGUCCAAUUAACAGAAACCCAAUACCUAAACUACCCAACAUCAGGCGCAAAUUGCUAAUCCACUAGGGCCCAUUAAAAUUUAAACCCAAUUUGCCUAGACCCUAGCCCAAUCACGAAGUGGCCCAACGCAAAAUCAGAGGUUGAAACCCUAGCAGCUUCCAGCGCCGUUCUCCCCAGCCACGCACGCCUCCGUACAGCCUUCACACACCGCCACGCGCUGCGCGUACGUCGUAC